GACGAACGCUGGCGGCGCGCUUAACACAUGCAAGUCGAACGGAAAGGCCUGCUUUCCCUUGUGGAUUGCGGGUACUCGAGUGGCGAACGGGUGAGUAACACGUGAGUGAUCUGCCCCCAACUUGGGCAUAAGCCUGGGAAACUGGGUCUAAUUCCCGAUAGGACUGCAGGGUGGUGCCUGUGGUGGAAAACGAUCUUCUAGUGGUUGGUGAUGAGCUCGCGGCCUAUCAGCUUGUUGGUGGGGUAAUGGCCUACCAAGGCGGAGACGGGUAGCCGGCCUGAGAGGGUGGACGGCCACAUUGGGACUGGGAUACGGCCCAGACUCCUACGGGCGGCAGCAGUGGGGACGAUUGCACAAUGGGCGGGAGCCUGAUGCAGCGACGCCGCGUGGGGGAUGACGGCCUUCGGGUUGUAAACUCCUUUCGACCGCGAGGAAGCCACCUGGUUGGAAGGGUGGUGACGGUAGUGGUAGAAGAAGCACCGGCUAACUACGUG
rnacentral:rRNA from 1 species